rnacentral:rRNA from 1 species
AUACGGAGGAUGCGAGCGUUAUCCGGAUUUAUUGGGUUUAAAGGGUGCGUAGGCUGUGCGUUAAGUCAGGGGUGAAAUGCCGUCGCUCAACGACGGAGCUGCCCUUGAUACUGGCGUGCUGGAGUACGGAUGCCGUUGGAGGAAUGAGUGGUGUAGCGGUGAAACGCUUAGAUAUCACUCAGAACACCGAUUGCGAAGGCAUCGGACGAAUCCGUCACUGACGCUGGGGCACGAAGGCGUGGGGAUAGAACAGGAUUAGAUACCCUGUUAUUCCACGCCGUAAACGAUGAUGACUAACCGUCGGCGAUAGACAGCCGGUGGCCAAGCGAAAGCGAUAAGUCAUCCACCUGGGGAGUACGUCGGCAUCGAUGAAACUCAAAUGAAUUGGCGGG